CGAGUUGAGAGACUGAUCGGCCACAUUGGGACUGAGACACGGCCCAAACUCCUACGGGAGGCAGCAGUAGGGAAUCUUCCACAAUGGACGCAAGUCUGAUGGAGCAACGCCGCGUGAGUGAAGAAGGGUUUCGGCUCGUAAAGCUCUGUUGGUAGUGAAGAAAGAUAGAGGUAGUAACUGGCCUUUAUUUGACGGUAAUUACCUAGAAAGUCACGGCUAACUACGUGCCAGCAGCCGCGGUAAUACGUAGGUGGCAAGCGUUGUCCGGAUUUAUUGGGCGUAAAGCGAGUGCAGGCGGUUCAAUAAGUCUGAUGUGAAAGCCUUCGGCUCAACCGGAGAAUUGCAUCAGAAACUGUUGAACUUGAGUGCAGAAGAGGAGAGUGGAACUCCAUGUGUAGCGGUGGAAUGCGUAGAUAUAUGGAAGAACACCAGUGGCGAAGGCGGCUCUCUGGUCUGCAACUGACGCUGAGGCUCGAAAGCAUGGGUAGCGAACAGGAUUAGAUACCCUGGUAGUCCAUGCCGUAAACGAUGAGUGCUAAGUGUUGGGAGGUUUCCGCCUCUCA
rnacentral:rRNA from 1 species